rnacentral:lncRNA from 10 species
AGCAAUUGUGCAGGGCACAGCAUACAGGCUUACAGAGGGCCUAUGGAAGAGUUCUCCAUGGAGUAUUUCAGGCAACAGGAGGAGCACAUGCAGUUUUCAAAGAACUUGGAAACAGAAAUUCUGAGAUGGGAAGAAACCUACAUAUUAUCCAGAAGGAUCCCCAGGCCCUUUCUGAUAUGGAGAGCAGUGAAGUCCAUGCUAAAUCCAGGCACCUCUUGAGUGCAGGUCCUGGAGGAGCUUCCAAAGGGAAGACAACUCUGAAAGGAAUCAGCCAACCAUAGCCUUGCUAUAUCCUGGGGUCUUGGAUAAUGUAGAAGAGUAAAAUCUAAGUCUUGCUUACAGAAUCUGAAGAAACUCUUCUGACUUCAAAGCUCAAUUCUGUGCCAUGGAAAUCAGAUAUACUAUAUCAUAUCUCAACUUAAGUGCAAAGGAGCAAACUCUGGCAAAACUUUAUGUAAAGGAAGAACUUUCUCCUCUUCUCUCCCCAUAUCAUCAUAGCAGCUACAUCCUACAAACACACAGCGGCUGUUAUCAGAAAUCAACUUGUGAAAGUCACCUCUACCCAUAGAUGAGGUUGUGAUGGUUUCAUCCAAAUGAUUUUAUGGCCUGUGAAGCAGUCAUUUGGAUCAAGGUUAACAAAUUCUUGGUAUCAGAGGUGCUACUGAGGACUCCACAUACCGAUACCAAUAAAUAAUGUCCAUACAACGAAGGUGGUGUUGGUUGAUACGGUUUGGAUCUGUGUCCCCACCCAAAUCGCAUGUUGAAUUGUAAUCCCCCAGUAUUGGAGGUGGGGCCUGGUGGGAGGUAACUGGAUCAUGGGGUUGGAUUUCCCUAUUGCUGUUCUCAUGAUAGUGAGUGAGUUGUCAUGAGAUCUGGUUGUUUAAAAGUGUGUAAUACCUCCCACUCACCUUCCUCCUGCUGUGGCCAUGGAAGAUGUGCCUCCUUCACCUUCCACCAUGACUGUGUUUCCUGAGGCCUUCCCAGAAACUGAGCAGAUGCCACCAUGCUUCCUGUACAAUCUACAGAACCUUGAGCCAAUUAAACCUUUUUUUUAUAAAUUAC